rnacentral:rRNA from 1 species
UACGAAGGGUGCAAGCGUUACUCGGAAUUACUGGGCGUAAAGCGCGCGUAGGCGGCUUUACAAGUCAGAGGUGAAAUCCCCAGGCUCAACCUGGGAACUGCCUUUGAAACUGUAAAGCUAGAGUGUCGGAGGGGAUGGCGGAAUUGCUAAUGUAGAGGUGAAAUUCGUAGAUAUUCGCAAGAACACCAGUGGCGAAGGCGGCUCACUGGUCCGGUACUGACGCUGAGGUGCGAAAGCGUGGGGAGCAAACAGG